rnacentral:rRNA from 1 species
GACGAACGCUGGUGGCGUGCUUAACACAUGCAAGUCGAACGAAGAGCGAUGGAAGCUUGCUUCUAUCAAUCUUAGUGGCGAACGGGUGAGUAACGCGUAAUCAACCUGCCCUUCAGAGGGGGACAACAGUUGGAAACGACUGAUAAUACCGCAUACGAUCUAAUCUCGGCAUCGAGGAUAGAUGAAAGGUGGCCUCUACAUGUAAGCUAUCACUGAAGGAGGGGAUUGCGUCUGAUUAGCUAGUCGGAGGGGUAACGGCCCACCAAGGCGAUGAUCAGUAGCCGGUCUGAGAGGAUGAACGGCCACAUUGGGACUGAGACACGGCCCAGACUCCUACGGGAGGCAGCAGUGGGGAACCUUCCGCAAUGGACGAAAGUCUGACGGAGCAACGCCGCGUGAGUGAUGACGGCCUUCGGGUUGUAAAGCUCUGUUAAUCGGGACGAAAGGCCUUCUUGCGAAUAGUGAGAAGGAUUGACGGUACCGGAAUAGAAAGCCACGGCUAACUACGUGC